CGACCGCAUCAUGAACACCUUC
rnacentral:misc_RNA from 1 species